UGGUUACUAGGGCCCCCAUGCUUUUUAACACUUUGAGGAAUGAAAAAGACCCAAAGGAGCAGCUGGAACAAGCUGGCAUCUAUAACAUACCUGUUACUAACCACCAUAUGAACCAGCAAGCAACCUGUGUGGGGGUGACUGGCGGGACCUUGGCUCAAUGAAUUGGGGAGCACAGGAGUGAUAUAGAGAGGGCCAGAAUGGUAACGGCCCUGGUGGUUAGAGCCUAUGAGGAGAACUUAACUAUACACUGGCAAGAGGCUUAAGAUAGUAAAGUAAAUAAAGAACCUGUCCAAGCUAUUUGUACCAAAACACUGGAAAUCCUCAUCUGCCAGAAUAAGGAGAACCUGCUUAAUAAGAAUCCCACCUCUAGGAUACCUGAUGCGUGGAGAUAUCUACUACAGCGAUCUGAGAGUGCAAUUAAAAAUAAUGAACCUACUCACAGCAGGAGGAAAGCAACCCAACCUGACCUAAAUGAACUGGAUCCUAGCUGGUACUGAGAUGUUUUUACUUGCAACAGAUCCAGCAGAGUGCCUCUGCAUAGGCAAAGACUUGAAAAUUUAUUUUUAUUUAAUUUAUUUUGUAUUCUUUGUUCUAUUUUCAUCUUAUUACAUUAUGUUUUCUUAUUUAUUUGUUUUGUAUAAUAUGAUAUAUAUAUCUAAUUUAGUUAAAUAUUUUCUGAAAUGUUUUUGAAACUUUGAACAAUGUUCCCAAGGCAACGAAAAACUGUCUGCCAGUUAAUAUGUUCUAUGUUUGUUUGUUCCAUGAUCUUAGAACAUUUUUGAAAUCUUCAGGCUACAGUGAUUUCAAAAAUACAUCGAUUAAUAAAGGAAUGCUAUUUGAACUCAAAUUGCCGAGUAGUGCUGUGAAUUGUUUUGUUGAUAUUAUAUUAGUAGUAGUUAUUUAAAAAAUCCCUCUAGCCAACCAGAAUCUUUUAAUCAUCUUUUGCUUGGUGCAUUCAGUUUAAGAAAACAUUUGCU
rnacentral:lncRNA from 1 species